rnacentral:rRNA from 1 species
CUAACAAGGAUUCCCCUAGUAACGGCGAGUGAAGCGGGAAGAGCUCAAGCUUAAAAUCUCCGUGCAAGUUUUGCGCGGCGAAUUGUAGUCUAUAGAGGCGUGGUCAGCGUGAGCACUUGGGGCAAGUUCCUUGGAAGAGGACAGCAUGGAGGGUGAUACUCCCGUUCAUCCCUGAGUUGCUCGUGCGUACGACCCGUUUUCUUUGAGUCGCGUUGUUUGGGAAUGCAGCGCAAAGUAGGUGGUAAAUUCCAUCUAAAGCUAAAUAUUGGUGCGAGACCGAUAGCGAACAAGUACCGUGAGGGAAAGAUGAAAAGAACUUUGAAAAGAGAGUUAAAGAGUACCUGAAACUGCUGAAAGGGAACCGAAUCGUUUCCAGUGUCUAUAAUCUGUGGCAUAUUUCAUUGGCGAGUGUGUGCGUGCGUGUGCUGUGGCAGUGGCUUUUUUGGCUGCGCUCGGUGUGUGUGCUGUGUGUGCUUGCUGGUGCCCUGUGCUGCGGUGGGACGUCAAGGUCAGUUCGUAUGCUGCGGGAAAUGGCUGCCGAGGAGGUAGGGCUUACGCUUGCGUUUGUCUGUUAUAUCUUGGUGGACGAGUAGUCGCGGUUGGGACUGAGGUGCCUACAACGUGCUUUUGAGUGUGUCUGUGUCUCCGUGUGAGCCGUGUGCGGAUAGCUUGCUAUGCGUGUGUGGUUGUGUGUGGAUUGAUGCGGGCUUUAACUUGUUGCCGUUCGGGACGUUGACGAAAUGGAGCGAUCCGACCCGUCUUGAAACACGGACCAAGGAGUCUAACAUGUGUGCAAGUGUUAGGGUGUGGAAACCCCAGCGCGAAAUGAAAGUGAAGGGCAGCGCAAGUUGUCUGAGGUAGGAAACGUUGUGGGCUUCGGUCUGCGGCGUGGCACUAUCGACCGAUCAUGAACCUUCGUGGUGAAAGAUUUGAGUUUGAGCACAUAUGUUGGUACCCGAAAGAUGGUGAACUAUGCCUGAGUAGGGUGAAGCCAGGGGAAACUCUGGUGGAAGCUCGUAGCGAUUCUGACGUGCAAAUCGAUCGUCAAACUUGGGUAUAGGGGCGAAAGACUAAUCGAACCAUCUAGUAGCUGGUUCCCUCCGAAAUUUCCCUCAGGAUAGCAGCAACUUAUUUACGAUAGUUUUAUGAGGUAAAGCGAAUGAUUAGAGGAUUCGGGGAAGAAACUUCCUCGACCUAUUCUCAAACUUUAAAUCUGUAAGACCUGCAGGUUUCUUAAUUGAACUUGUGGAUGUGAAUAUCAA